UACGUAGGCAGCAAGCGUUGUUCGGAAUUACUGGGCGUAAAGCGAGUGUAGGCGGUCUGCCAAGUCCGUUGUGAAAUCUCCCGGCUCAACUGGGAGGGUGCGCCGGAAACUGGCAGGCUAGGGUGCGGUAUGGGAGAGUGGAAUUCCUGGUGUAGCGGUGAAAUGCGUAGAUAUCAGGAGGAACACCGGUGGUGAAGACGGCUCUCUGGACCGUUACCGACGCUGAGACUCGAAAGCGUGGGGAGCAAACAGG
rnacentral:rRNA from 1 species